rnacentral:pre_miRNA from 1 species
UUAACUCAAAUUUGUAUGGAAUUGGAACGUUUGCCUACGUUUGCCGCUAGGGGCGCUUUUCCGACUACAUACCGAUUUAAGUUA